CAUCUCCCCAUGCUUACCACAGGUAGCUUGGCCACAAACGCUGCCUGUAUAGAAGUGGGAGGUACAGAAUUGGCAUCCCUGCAUACACCUCAGCCAGGCUGCUUCUCACCUGAGCUGUAUUGUUAGCAAGGGCACAGAG